AUGUCGGACGCAAUGCAUGAAGAUAUUGACGAUGGCCUUCGGUUCCGAAAUUCCAAUUGUUUCUGUGGCUUGAGAGCAAGCGCGAGGAUUUUGGAUAAGCAAAAUAAGAACUGGUACAAGCUUUUCCAAUGUUGCCCAAAGGAUGCACGUGGGUUUUUUCAAUUGUGUAUUCCCUUGAAGAUGCCAUUGUCAUAUGCAGAGGAUUUCUAGCAACUACAAUCAAAGUUGUGUGUAUUGUGAGAGGAAUUGAGGGUCAUGCAUGACAAGGUUUACCCCUUAGAUCAGACAAAAAAAAAAUGGUCAAGAUUAUGUUCAUAGAGCAUCUAGUCAUUAUCUUAUUUUAUUUGUAUCAUGUUUUUUGUUUUUUGUUUUUUUUCAUUUAUUCUAAAGUAUGAUAUGGAUUGUUUUAAUCUUGUUUUAAUAUAGCACCAAUGGAUGAAAAUUUAGUUAUAAGUGAGACUCAUCAAGUUGGUAAAAGGAAUUGUUUUAACUAAAAUGAAUUACUUCAAGAAUGAACUUUUAUUUUAUUGUAUUUGUAUAAUUUUUUUCAUUUAUCUUAAAAGAUGAUAUUGAAUAUUGAUUUUUUUAAUCUUGUUUUAAUGUAGCACAACUGGAUGACAAUUUAGUUGCAAGUGAGACUCAUCAACUUGUUCUAAUGAAUUACUUUGACUUAAAUGAACUACCUCAAGAAGGUACUAUUAUUUUUUAUUUUAUUUGUACUCCAUAUUUCAUUUAACGUAUAAUAUGAUAUUGAUUUUUUUUUCAAUUCUUGUUUUAAUAUAGCACAAAUUGAUGAUGAUGUAAUUGCAAGUGAGAUUCAUGGAAGUGUUUCAAGGAAUUGUGUUGAGUUAAACGAGUUUCUAAAUGAUGGAAAAAAAUAAUAACACACGUGGAGAGGAAAUAAUUGAUUGGAAUGAAUGUCCAAUAGAUGAAACGGGGGUUAUAGAAGAAUAUGAGGAUAUAAAUUCAAUAGAAAAUGAAUUUGAGCCUUUUGUUGGUCAAUGUUUUCUUAGUGAAGAAGAAGCUUUCAUUUUCUAUAAAAAUUAUGCAAAUCGAAAUGGUUUUAGAAUUAUAAAAUGUCGUUUGGAGAAAAAAAAAUGGAGAAAUAAGAAAACAUAAUUUCUUUUGUCAUCGGGAAGGUAGACAACCACUAAAAAUGGUGGAUCCAUCUAAGGAGCAACGAAAUAGGAAGUCUUUAAAAUGUAGAUGCAAGGCUCGUCUAACUAUUGUAUUGCAAAAGUCAAUAGACAUUUCUCCGAAAGAAUCACAUGUCACUAUUUUUUGUUGUAGAUCACAAUCAUGAAUUGUUGUCACCUUCGAGAGUACGAUUUCUUCCAGCCAAUCGAGUUAUCACCGAAGAUGAUAAAAAUUGCAUUCUCUUAUAAAAAGAAGCUGGACUUUUAGUUAGAGAAAUAAUACGUGUUAUGGAACUUAAGAAAAAUGUGAAACACGGACAUCUUCCAUUUUUUCGAUGGGAUAUUCGUAAUCUUUAUGUGAAAAUGAGAAAGAUGCAUGCUGUGAAUGAUGCCAUGGAUCUCUUACAAUUUUGUAAAGUUGAUAAAGAAAGGAAUUCUAAGUUUCAAUAUGCAUUCACAACCAAUGAAGAGAAAAGGCUCAAAAGGAGAAAGAGACUUGUACUUCCUCAAAUGGUGCAAAAAAAAGGAAAACAUGUACUUCAAGUGAAAUGGGAUUGAAUCCAAUAUUUUGUUUGAAAUGUUAGGUAGAAGCUGUUGAACUUGUAUAACAAAAAUUGUGACAAUAUUAUUUUUGUUAUUUUUGACAAUCUUAUGCCAUUGCUUCUUCCCUCACUAUGACAAUAUUAUGUGAUUGUUAAUUGAUGCUUGUCUUGAUUUUUUUUUUUUUUUUGGUGUUAUAUUUUCAUUUUGACAAUAUUAUGUCAUUGUGCUUAAAUGUUUUGGUUAGCUAAGUACUCUUAUUAAUUUUGACCAGUUGUGAUCAUGAUAUUUUAAAUUAUACUAAUUAUGAUUAAAUAUUCUUGAAAAAUAAGCAGCAUUAAAAAAAAAAAAAUUUUGUAAGACUACAAUUGCAAAUUAACCCUUAAAUUUUAUAUCAAAUCAACAACGAUGAAAGAAACAAGGAAAUAUAUAUAUAUAAUAAUAGGUGAAGCAGAGAGAAAAUCCAAUUAGAUUUCAAUUGGAUUCUCAAUUUUGCGCCACUUGUCCUAACCAAAACUCAAAAAAAAAAAAAAAAAAAAAAAAAAAACUCUCGUUCUCAAUCUCCUCUCAUCUAUUGAAGACCAUGGCUGAGAGCUCCGACCUUUGCCGUUCACCACUCAUCACUGCCAACUGUAGUGCCUUAGCUUUAUCUCAACCUCUCUUCUCCCUUCUCUCCCUUUUUCUCUCUCUCCAUCACUCUCUAUCUGUCUAGAUCUAAAUAAUCCUAAACUCCAAGAUUGAUUCAGAUCUACCAUCGGCAUAAUCGACGGUGGCUCCUGAAGUGAACUAGUGGCGAGGUCGAUGGUGGAUGCCUUUAAGUUUUCUUUCCAAACCCAUAAGAAUGGGCGAAGAGGCCAGCCACGAAUGAUGUGCUUAAAAUAAAGAUACAAGGAAAUCCUUGCUGGCCUUUUUCCAAAUCUAACUUCGAUUUGUUCCAGUGAACAUUACCUCUAAAUCCUAUCCUCUAGUUUUGAAAUUAUUUGUCAAGAUGGUGAUGUUCCCAGUGAUAUUAUUUGCUGGAUCUAUUUUGUCUAUCAAAUACCUCUUGUUUCAAUUGGAUUUAAAACCAAGCGCCCCAAAGCGAUGGUGUUUUUUCGACAAUUUGAAAAAAGAUCGGUGAGCUGCAACAAGAACACAAUAAACAGGGGUGUUUUUUAUGGCCAAACUAGAAGGUGUCAUUCUAAUGGAUGGGUUUAACAGUGUUUGCUAUUUAAUUAGUUGGACACGUGGCUAAAAUUUAAGUGGAGAACCUAAGGAAUAGCACCUAAGAUAGUGGACCUAAGUUUUGCCCAAUUGACAAAAACUUCAAUUUCAAUAUUUUUUUUUUUUUGAGAAACAAUUUCAAGAAAUUGAUCAUUCAUGGAUGAAAUUGAACACUAAGACAGUUUAAGAACCAAAAUCAUUAUUUUCCCAAAAAAUAAGAUAAUAUCACCACAUGGUUGAAAUAUAAAACAAUUCAUUAAUCCAGUUAAAAGGAGAAAAACAAUUGAUUGCUUAUAAGAUUUCACCUUCGAAAUUCUACUUUAAUUCUAAUAUUUUGUGUAUAUAUACACAUAUAUACAUCUAUAUAUGUUUGUAUUAUCAACCUAAAAAUCAUAUCAUGGGUUUAUCUAUGGCAAUUAUGUAAUGUACUCAUUAGUAAGAAAAAAAAUUCUUUACAAAGCAAAAUCUAUCGAAAAAGAUUCAGAAAGUAUUCUCAUUAAUCUAUAUAAGUGAGACCCUACAAUAGAUUUGUUUAUAUUUUUCAAUAAAUCCAUCUAAAUAUGAAAAAACUUUAAGUCACCAUGUUACGGAUUCACCGUACAAUUUCUCAUUGUAAAAUGUUAAAACAAUACAAAUUUUAUUACACAAAGUUUAUAAAUUAAUGUGGUAAUAAAUGCAAUUAGUAAGAUUUCAAUAACAUAGUAAAUGAAUGUUAGAACUUAAAAUUAUAUUUUUGUAAUUGGUAAUAAAUUAAUUUGUAAAGUUUAUUAUAAUAAAAUGUGUAGCAUCUCUAACAUUAUUCAGUUAUCUCAUGUGAUUGUAAGCUUCCAACUCCAAAUAAGCUCAACCAAUGAUAUUAGACGUGUGAUGACAUACAAAUAGUUAGACUGCGAAGGACUAACUCAAUUUUGUUACUUAAUAAGCUGAUGAUGUCGAAAAAACCACUAUUAAGUCACACGGUCCUCACGUGCUCGCAACGUAAUUUGCACAACAAAAAGAAAAGACCUUACAGAGAGCACCGGUGUGGUGCUAGCCAAAUACCCUCCGAAAGUCAAGUUAGAACUUCUCACGACUCUAGAGUGCCAGAACUGGGCUGAAUUAUGCAUACCUUGGUUUGUGAGGGUAUUGGGGCUUUUAUAGUAGCAGAGGGUUGACAUCUUUUCCUUGAGUUAGAAGUUUUUUCCUUAUAGGAAUCCUUAUAAACAUAUAUUGCAGGAUCCUUUCCUUUUAUGAGACUAACACUGAGCGUGGGGCACAAGACAUUUCCAAAUACACACAUGUGUGGUGGCCAAGUCAAGAUUAUGUCAGAAUCGUCAGCCUCGUGUAUCUCUUUCAGCUUAGUGGCGUCAACUUUCUAUUCUUCCUACAUUGACCUCGACAGCUUAAAGCCGUAGACUCCUUACUGUUUUCUCUUGUUAAUGGACACAAGUAAAGCCGACGGGUUUGUUUGGAACGUCGCUUUAUGCCUUCCCAUUAGUGAGCGUACACUUACAAUUUUACCCUUAUCAUAAGCUGUAUAGAUAGUAUGUAGCAUCGUUUUUAACCAAUCUGCAGAGUCAUAUUUAAAGAAGUUCCAAUAAGAUGCCCAAACCUUCACAUUGUAGAAUUUGCCAUUGGACCUACUCAUGGACUACCUAGUGUAAACAGUAAACACACGUAUAAAGAGGCAUUUUGUUCUUUGUAGGUAUAUGCCAAGAUUUGGUGAUUAUGUUGUUAUGAGACGGAUUGACCAAUAUGCCUCAGACUUAGAGAAAGACUUAGAGCCCGUUUGGUCAUAGAGUUCAAAAAUUGUUGUUUAAAAAGAUGUGAAAACUGUGGUUUAAAAAGUGUUGUUAAAAAAUGUGUUUUCAGUGUUUAUAAAACAAAAAAAUGUGUUUGGUAUCAUGGUUUAAAUAACAUGUUUCAGUGUUCAAAAAAUAUAAAUAUGUGUUUGGUAUGUGUGUAUUGAAUUGUAAAAAAAGCUGACCAAAGUACGAAAUAAACGUUUUCUAAAUCAGGAGAGAGAACAUCAAAUUCCCGUUGCUCCUCUCUUUCCUUCUUUAUCCCUUCUCUUCCCUGAGAGCAGAAAACCAAACCCACGUACAGUCCUCAUCUCCAUUGACGCCUUAGAAGAUCUACUGCUGGGCUUCACGUUCCUCAGAUCUCAUCUCCAUUAUCAGCACUCCAAGACCCAGCAACUAAUCGAGCUUUUGUCGCCGCCGACCUAUCACUCCAAGAUCCAGGUUCGAAUCUCACUUUCACCUUCCUUGUCAAUGGGUUUUUGUCUAAAGACUGAACAGUUCCUUCUUCACUCACAGAUUUCUCAUUUUUUCUGUUCUUUGUUUGCUGUUGAAACAAUAUUUGAUUUACAAUCCAGACAUACACGCCCUACAUUCUUGAAAUAUUUUAGGUACAUUCUUGAAAUCUUUUGCUGUUGAAACAAUGUUUGAUUUACAACCCAUUCGAUUUUUCAUUUUUCUUAACACUCUGUUUGGUUGUCGAGAAAGCGUCAGAAGAUUAAAAAAAAAAAAAAAAGGCUAACAAAUCUUCUGAACUCUAAAUUAAUAAUUUCUUGUGGUUUUUCCUAGAGUUUCUCAGCUACCAAACUCCAAUGUUGCUUGCUUGUUGUUUGAAAUUUGAGGGUCUUUUGAGUGUGAUUUUUAAGCUAAUAUGAAAUUCUCCGUAGCUGAUUAUUAGUUUCUUUAGUGGAUUUUUACUGUUAGUUUUAGUUGAUUGGGUUUAGUUUAAUUAUUCAUGAAUCUAAGCUUGGUGAAUUUGAUGAUUUUGUGGUAGGUUUGAUUGAAUUUUGUUGAAUUCAAUUUGGAUAUGAUGGAUAUAAUGUGGUGCUAUUGAGGCCAAUUCCUCAAUUAUAGUGAUCAAAAGAAAGGUUUUGUGAGGUUUAGGAGUACAUUUGGUUUUCUCUGUUCUAGUUCUGUCAAUGAUGGUUUUCUAAUUCAAAAUUUUGAAAGUCUGUAUUAAUCUUGCACCAAAAAUUGAAAAUAGUUAUAGGAAAUUGCAUAGCCAUAGGGUCUGCUUGGAUAUGUUACUAUAGUUUUUGUUGCAUGAAUUAAUAGCAUGUUCAAAUGGUUGUUUAAUAGUGUUGAUUACAUUUUGCAAUGUGUAAGUGAGUAGGUUUGUGGCUUCUUCUUGUAGAUGUUGGACGCAAUGCAUGAAGAUAUUGACGAUGGCCUUCGGUUCUGAAAUUCCAACUGUAUCUGUGGCUUGAGAGCAAGCGCGAGGAUUUUGGAUAAGCGAAAUGAGAACUAGUACAAGUUUUUCCAAUGUUGCCCAAAGGAUGCACGUGGGUUUUUUCAAUGGUGUAUUCCCUUGAAGAUGCCAUUGUCAUAUGCAGAGGAUUUCUAGCAACUACAAUCAAAGUUAUGUGUAUUGCGAGAGGAAUUGAGGGUCAUGCAUGACAAGGUUCACCCCUUAGAUCAGACAAAAAAAAUGGUCAAGAUUAUGUUCAUAGAGCAUCUAGUCAUUAUCUUAUUUUAUUUGUAUCAUUUUUUUUUUUCAUUUAUUCUAAAGUAUGAUAUGGAUUGUUUUAAUAUAGCACCAAUGGAUGAAAAUUUAGUUAUAAGUGAGACUCAUCAAGUUGGUAAAAGGAAUUGUUUUAACUAAAAUGAAUUACUUCAAGAAUGAACUUUUAUUUUAUUUUAUUUGUAUAAUUUUUUUCAUUUAUCUUAAAAGAUGAUAUUGAAUAUUGAUUUUUUUAAUCUUGUUUUAAUGUAGCACAACUGGAUGACAAUUUAGUUGCAAGUGAGACUCAUCAACUUGUUCCAAUGAAUUGCUUUGACUUAAAUGAACUACCUCAAGAAGGUACUAUUAUUUUUUAUUUUAUUUGUACUCCAUAUUUCAUUUAACGUAUAAUAUGAUAUUGAUUUUUUUUUUUUUAAAUUCUUGUCAAAUUGAUGAUGAUGUAAUUGCAAGUGAGAUUCAUGGAAGUGUUUCAAGGAAUUGUGUUGAGUUAAAUGAGUUUCUGAACGAUGGAAAAAAAUAAUAACACACGUGGAGAGGAAAUAAUUGAUUGGAAUGAAUGUCCAAUAGAUGAAGCGGGGGUUAUAGAAGAAUAUGAGGAUAUAAAUUCAAUAGAAAAUGAAUUUGAGCCUUUUGUUGAGGAAGAUACAUGACAUGACAUGCACUCAAGUAGGGACCUAGAUGAAGAACAAGGGGACGAUGGGGAUGAUGGGGGAGGACGCUAUAUAAAGAAGAAGGGCUCCUAAUAAAAAGGAGGAGAAAAAAAAAAAGGAAAGAGAAAAGAGAAAGGUUUUACUGUAGUCCUAAGAAUUGUAACCAGUAUUCAAUUUAUCAUAAGUCUCUUCAGACUUCAGUUUAUUUGAUCUUUACGUGUAUUUUUAUGUUGGUUUAUACUUGGAUGUUGUGAUCAACCGUUGUGAGCUCCACAGUCAACCUAGCUCUAUCAUCCACACUCUACAAAUUUAUUGUUUUGGGCUUGGGCCACAAAUCCUAACCCUACAAUAAAUAAAUAAAACUCUUCAGAAAAAAAAAAUUCAAUAUAAAAUAUUAUUAAUAGUUGUAAUUCAAUCCAAAUAUAUUUAUUAUUAGGAUGUUUUAGAUAAACAGAUAUUAUGGAGGACAGGAAUUCUAUAUCAUUUAAGAUAAAAAUUAAUUAAUAUGUUGUAUUUGUAGAUAAGAGGAGAGAGAUUUUUCUACCAAAUAAAGUUUGGUUUGACCACCAAAUAAAGUUUGUAGUACAAUUUUACCUCUUAAAAUUGGAUUCACCAAAUCUAGUGCAUAAGUUUAGGCUCAGAUGUGAAUCAAUAAUAAUUUAACAACUUAACGGUUGUAAAAUUUGUUAUGAAACACAUUGUGUAUAUAUCAUUGAUCAAUUGGAUUAUUUAUUGGAUGGUGCAAAACACAUGUAGGAGGCUUUCAUUGUGCUACCCCAACCAGAAGUAAAGCCUGUGACAAUGGACAAAUUCCCCAAGCCAAUUAUCUUCCGUGAUGGCCGCCUUGUUCAAAAGCUAACACCUCUUAUGGCACUCCUCACCACUCUUUGGAUCCCUGUAGGAUUCCUCUUAGCCUGUCUUCGAAUCACCGCAGGUGCCCUCCUCCCCAUGCCACUAGUCUAUUACGCUUUCAUGGCACUAGGUGUUCGUGUCACUAUCAAAGGCACCCCUCCCCUCAGGCUAAAAAAUCCAUAGGCCAAUCUGGUGUCCUCUUUAUCUCAUAGAACCUUACUUGACCCUAUUUUCCUUUCCACCACCCUCGGCCAUGCCAUCCCUGCUGUGACCUACUUUGUCUCCCACCUCUCCGAGAUCAUCUCACCCAUCAAGACCGUUCGCCUUAAUCGUGACUGGGCUAGGGAUGCAUCCAUGAUCAAGAAACUAUUAGAAGAAGGUGACUUAGCAAUCUGCCCUGAGGGUACAACUUGUAGGGAACCAUUUCUUUUAAGGUUUUCUGCUUUGUUUGCUAAAUUAACAGGCCAACUUGUGCCUAUGGCAAUGGUGAAUCGAAUGAGUAUGUUUCAUGGAACCACAGCUAGAAGGUGGAAAGGAAUGGACCCAUUUUAUUUCUUCAUGAACCUUAGCCCAGCUUAUGAAGUAACUUUUUUGAACAAGUUGCCACUUGAGCUAACUUGCAGUUCUGGGAAGUCUAGCCAUGAGGUUGCAAAUUAUAUACAAAGGGUUAUUGCAGCAACUCUUUCUUAUGAGUGCACAAGCUUCACUAGGAAAGAUAAGUAUCGGGCACUUGCUGGUAAUGAUGGAACUAUGGUUGAGAAACCUUUGCUCAAGGCCAACAAAGUAAUGGGAUGUUGA
rnacentral:sRNA from 1 species